rnacentral:lncRNA from 1 species
AACUUUGGCCUUAUGCCAUUGUAUUUUUUAAACUUCUUUUCUUAAUACAAACUUGUAAAUGAACUUAACCAUACUUGACUUAGAAUUUCAAAAGACGAAAAAUAACUAACACUCAUUCAAACUCUUUUAGGCCUUUUGUGCCUCUUUCAAACUUAAAUUUUUGUUAAAAGCAAUUCACUCACUUUGAAAUUGAUACCACGAACUACGAGGUUUUGAUCCCUCAUUUUUAUGUUGGUACGUAG